UCGUAGGUGAGGGCUUGCUCGUUCU
rnacentral:misc_RNA from 1 species